GACGAACGCUGGCGGCGUGCUUAACACAUGCAAGUCGAACGGAAAGGCCUCUUUCGGGGGGUACUCGAGUGGCGAACGGGUGAGUAUCACGUGAGUAACCUGCCCUUGACUUUGGGAUAACUUCAGGAAACUGGGGCUAAUACCGGAUAGGAGCUCCUGCUGCAUGGUGGGGGUUGGAAAGUUUCGGCGGUUGGGGAUGGACUCGCGGCUUAUCAGCUUGUUGGUGGGGUAGUGGCUUACCAAGGCUUUGACGGGUAGCCGGCCUGAGAGGGUGACCGGCCACAUUGGGACUGAGAUACGGCCCAGACUCCUACGGGAGGCAGCAGUGGGGAAUAUUGCACAAUGGGUGGAAGCCUGAUGCAGCAACGCCGUGUGCGGGAUGACGGCCUUCGGGUUGUAAACCGCUUUCGCUCAUGACGAAGCUUUGUGUGACGGUAGUGGGUAAAGAAGCACCGGCCAACUACGUG
rnacentral:rRNA from 1 species